rnacentral:piRNA from 1 species
CACAAGAGCAAAAACAUCUGCCUGGAGUGCA